CCUACGGGUGGCAGCAGUGAGGAAUAUUGGUCAAUGGACGAGAGUCUGAACCAGCCAAGUAGCGUGAAGGAUGACUGCCCUAUGGGUUGUAAACUUCUUUUAUAAAGGAAUAAAACGUGGCACGUGUGCCUUUUUGUAUGUACUUUAUGAAUAAGGAUCGGCUAACUCCGUGCCAGCAGCCGCGGUAAUACGGAGGAUCCGAGCGUUAUCCGGAUUUAUUGGGUUUAAAGGGAGCGUAGAUGGGUUGUUAAGUCAGUUGUGAAAGUUUGCGGCUCAACCGUAAAAUUGCAAUUGAUACUGGCAGUCUUGAGUACAGUAGAGGUAGGCGGAAUUCGUGGUGUAGCGGUGAAAUGCUUAGAUAUCACGAAGAACCCCGAUUGCGAAGGCAGCUUACUAAACUGUGACUGACAUUGAUGCUCGAAAGUGUGGGUAUCAAACAGGAUUAGAUACCCGUGUAGUC
rnacentral:rRNA from 1 species